AAGUUUUAAUAUAUUAUUAUUUAUAUACCUUAAAAUUUGCAAUUUUAAAUCAUUUUUGACUAUAAAACU
rnacentral:tRNA from 1 species